GACGAACGCUGGCGGCGUGCUUAACACAUGCAAGUCGAACGGAUGCAGAUGGGAGCUUGCUUUCAUUUGUAUUAGUGGCGAAAGGGUGAGUAACGCGUGGGCAACCUGCCCAGUACCGGGGAAUAACAGCGGGAAACCGUUGCUAAUACCGCAUAACAUCUUUUUGAGACAUCUCAGGAAGAUCAAAGGAGAAAUCCAGUACUGGAUGGGCCCGCGUCCGAUUAGCUAGUUGGUGGGGUAAUGGCCUACCAAGGCGACGAUCGGUAGCCGAACUGAGAGGUUGAUCGGCCACAUUGGGACUGAGACACGGCCCAGACUCCUACGGGAGGCAGCAGUGGGGAAUAUUGCACAAUGGACGAAAGUCUGAUGCAGCAACGCCGCGUGAAGGAAGAAGGUCUUCGGAUUGUAAACUUCUUUGAUCGGGGAAGAAUAAUGACAGUACCCGAAGAACAAGCCACGGCUAACUACGUGCCAGCAGCCGCGGUAAUACGUAGGUGGCGAGCGUUGUCCGGAAUUACUGGGUGUAAAGGGCGCGUAGGCGGGAAUGCAAGUCAGAUGUGAAAUCCCAAGGCUUAACCUUGGAACUGCAUCUGANACUGUGUUUCUUGAGUGUCGGAGAGGAAAGCGGAAUUCCCCGUGUAGCGGUGAAAUGCGUAGAUAUGGGGAGGAACACCGGUGGCGAAGGCGGCUUUCUGGACGAUAACUGACGCUGAGGCGCGAAAGCGUGGGUAGCAAACAGGAUUAGAUACCCUGGUAGUCCACGCUGUAAACGAUGGAUACUANGUGUAGGAGGUAUCGACCCCUCCUGUGCCGCAGUUAACACAAUAAGUAUCCCACCUGGGGAGUACGGCCGCAAAGCUGAAACUCAAAGGAAUUGACGGGGGCCCGCACAAGCAGUGGAGUAUGUGGUUUAAUUCGAAGCAACGCGAAGAACUUUACCAGGUCUUGACAUCCCUUGCAUACCAUAGAGAUAUGGGAAGCCCUUCGGGGCAAGGAGACAGGUGGUGCAUGGUUGUCGUCAGCUCGUGUCGUGAGAUGUUGGGUUAAGUCCCGCAACGAGCGCAACCCCUGUUGUUGGUUGCCAUCAUUAAGUUGGGCACUCCAGCAAGACUGCCGGUGACAAAUCGGAGGAAGGUGGGGACGACGUCAAAUCAUCAUGCCCCUUAUGACCUGGGCUACACACGUACUACAAUGGCUGUUACAGAGGGUAGCGACUACGUAAGUAAGAGCAAAUCUCCAAAAACAGGCCCAGUUCGGAUUGUGGGCUGCAACUCGCCCACAUGAAGUCGGAAUUGCUAGUAAUUGCAGGUCAGCAUACUGCAGUGAAUACGUUCCCGGGCCUUGUACACACCGCCCGUCACACCAUGAGAGUCGGGAACACCCGAAGUCGGUAGCAUAACCCGUAAGGGAGUGCGCCGCCGAAGGUGGGUUUGAUAAUUAGGGUG
rnacentral:rRNA from 1 species